CAUGUACUCCCUCCGUCCAGAAAUACUUGUCGAAGAAAUGCAUAAAAAUGGAUGUAUCUAGAACUAAAAUACGUCUAGAUACGUCCGUUCCUCCGACAAAUAUUUCCGAACGGAGGGAGUACAUG
rfam:Triticum aestivum genome assembly, contig: Triticum_aestivum_CS42_TGACv1_scaffold_221710_3B